rnacentral:rRNA from 1 species
GUGGGGGAUAUUGCACAAUGGGGGAAACCCUGAUGCAGCGACGCCGCGUGAAGGAAGACGUACUUCGGUAUGUAAACUUCUAUCAGCAGGGAAGAAGAUGACGGUACCUGACUAAGAAGCCCCGGCUAACUACGUGCCAGCAGCCGCGGUAAUACGUAGGGGGCAAGCGUUAUCCGGAUUUACUGGGUGUACAGGGAGCGUAGACGGUGAAGCAAGUCUGAUGUGAAAACCCGGGGCUCAACUCCGGGAUUGCAUUGGAAACUGUUUUACUUGAGUGCUGGAGGGGCAAGCGGAAUUCCUGGUGUAGCGGUGAAAUGCGUAGAUAUCAGGAAGAACACCGGUGGCGAAGGCGGCUUGCUGGACAGUAACUGACGUUGAGGCUCGAAAGCGUGGGGAGCAAACAGGAUUAGAAACCCGAGUAGUCC